rnacentral:rRNA from 1 species
GACGAACGCUGGCGGCGUGCUUAACACAUGCAAGUCGAACGGAAAGGCCCUGCUUUUGUGGGGUGCUCGAGUGGCGAACGGGUGAGUAACACGUGAGUAACCUGCCCCUGACUUUGGGAUAACUUCAGGAAACUGGGGCUCAUACCGGAUAGGAGCUCCUGCUGCAUGGUGGGGGUUGGAAAGUUUCGGCGGUUGGGGAUGGAAUCGCGGCUUAUCAGCUUGUUGGUGGGGUAGUGGCUUACCAAGGCUUUGAAGGGUAGCCGGCCUGGGAGGGUGAGCGGCCACGUUAGGACUGGGAUGCGACCCAGACUCCUACGGGAGGCAGCGGUGGAGAAUAUUGCACAAUGGGCGGAAGGCUGAUGCAGCAACGCCGCGUGCGGGAUGACGGGCUUCGGGUUGUAAACCGCUUUCGCCUGUGACGAAGCGUGAGUGACGGUAAUGGGUGAAGAAGCACCGGCUAACUACGUG